UACAGAGGUUGCGAGCGUUAAUCGGAAUUACUGGGCGUAAAGCGUGCGUAGACGGUUAUUUAAGUCGGAUGUGAAAGCCCCGGGCUCAACCUGGGAAUUGCAUUCGAGACUGAAUAGCUAGGGUGCGGUAGAGGGAAGCGGAAUUUCCGGUGUAGCGGUGAAAUGCGUAGAUAUCGGAAGGAACAUCAGUGGCGAAAGCGGCUUCCUGGACCAGCACCGACGUUCAGGCACGAAAGCGUGGGGAGCAAACAGG
rnacentral:rRNA from 1 species